AGAAGUGAAGAGGAUCAGGCUGUAUCAUUUGUCACUGCACUGACUGCCAGGGUUGACUUGGAUGAUCUAGCUGCUUGGUGUCAUUUCCCCCCUUCCCUCCUUCCUUCCAGCUCCACGUGUGUUCUUCUCAAAGUUGCACAUUUAGUCAAAGAGGAUGAUCUUUCUUUGGUCAAGCAUAUACCUGCUCUUCCCAGGUAGAUCCUCCAAACAAGCUCUCAAGGUCCAAAUGCAUACCAGUAUGGCUAUAGUUACUGAAGUUUGCUCUUGGGAUAACUU
rnacentral:snRNA from 1 species